GUGUUGCUUAGUGCAAUCCGCAAAGUUAUAAUGAUAUAGUGUACAACAUAGCCAAAGGUAACUCAUACCAAAAGCAAGGGAUUGGUGUUGCGCGCAAGAUAACUGAUCCGUGUCAAGUUCACUACAAAGCAUAAGAUGAAGAGGAGCAGGAUAAACUUCUAUGUUACAGAAAUGAGUGCAGACUGCAGGCAUUUAUUAAAUAUAAAACCAAGGAUACGCUAGACUUGAGGCCACAAAGCAAAACCUGAAAUAAACAUGAAACAAAGACAUAAGAAACCAUAGCAAAUCUCGACACGGGUACAACUUGCAAGUCUGGGCAUGAAGCCAAAACUGGGCAGUCACAUGAGAGGAAAUAAAACGACAUUUUUCUGCCACAACUCCUAUAUGUGAUCACCUCAAAUGCCAAAUACAUUACAGCCAAGAAAGAAAACAUUAACCAGCUAGAGAAUAUAAACACCUCUCUAAUAGGAAAUAAUGUAGUUUAAUCGGCAAGGUACUACCACUGUCCAGCAUGAAAGAAAAACAAAUAAAUCUUAUAUGUGCACUGCCCUAGUUAUGUUCUUAGCAUAUCUCUGGAAUGAAAUUUAGAACCAAGAUGUCCAGAUAUAACAGAAGGUCAAACAUAGGUCUUUAUGAAAUAAUAACUACAUGCAAAUAUCAAACAGACAAUGUAUGAUCACCCUCCUCUAUAUCUUACUUCGGAAAAAGAGCAGAUUGUGUGCCUAAGUUGAAAUUGAAACUGUAUGCUCAAUAUUUAUGAAAUUGCUAGCUCAAUAUGUGCCUAAUCAUAUCUAUCACAUGCCUUUGUCACAUAAACAGGGCCAGUAAUCAAACAGAAUAGGAAAAAUGCAAGGUAUCAUGAUGAUACUACUACAUAAAGCAAGUUUCGAUGCCCUAAUUCAACUUUUGUAGCAGUGUGGACCAAAAAGGAAGAGCGCCCUCUCCCUCCUCGACACUUCCUUCUCUAUUCUUGCUCACCUCCGACAUGCUCAGGAGUUUGGCUUUGUGGCAGCGACAAGUCUGGUAGUGGCGCCCAUGGGAAAUGAGAUCAACAACAUAAAUAAAAAAUAACAGGUAGGCAUUACAAAGUGGGCUCACCUUUGGAAGAGCAUGGUGUUGGUAUUUGGCGUCAUGGGAUGAUUGUGCAAGUUUAGCAACAAACACACUUCCUACUCUGAAUAUUAUCUUGCCCUCAUAAUUAUUAUCGAAACUGAAAAUAGUAUGCAACCAUUAGACAUUGUUUUAGGACAAAUGAGAAUUACACUCAUAAUCAUUUAGUUAGGCCUCACAUAUCAGAAAGCAGACAAAGUUGAACUGUUCGACAAAAGCUUCACAUUAACGCAAGUAUAUCACUUAAUAAGCAGUUAACCUACCGAGUAGCAAUACCACGUCAUCAUGGGCCAGAAUUCUAAUUAAUUUUCAUAAUAAAUUCACCACCACUAAGGAACAUAAUCAAUUUUGAAGAAAUGUGCAUAUCCUGUUAUAACGUUUGGCAACUGAUCAUAGACAUUAAGGAGAAAAGCAAGUGUGUACCAGUAAUUUUUAGUACAGAACAUCAUGGCAGAAUUAGAAGCAAGCAAAAACAUUCACCUGCUGCCUGAGCUUUGAUCUUCACAUGCCUAAUUUUUUUGACAGUUCAUACCAAAAGGACCAGCAAUAAUGGAUUGGAUAGUGCUCACUUCCUGCAAUACAUGCACACUGCAAAGAAAAUUGCAUAACAAUCAUACCUUGCAAAUACUUGCGAUGGUCAGGUUGAUCUAAAGAUUACACAAAUGAUGGCGACAUCUAUAUAGCUACGAUGGAUAUUAUAUGCGGUAGAUCGGGAUCGCACCUUGGCGCGAGGGUGCCGGUCCAAACGCCAGGUUUAGCAUAUGCAUUCUCACUGUAUGCAUCAUACAAAGAAUAAUGGCCAAGGUAACCGUGUUUACAAUCCACUCAGUAUAUCGUAAAAGAAAUUCCAAGGACAAUCUAUAUACAGUUGUUCUCAGGCAUCAGCCCUAGUAUCUUGAACUUUAACAAUAAGCUUAUCAAAAUCAAAAUGGCCUAAGAAAGCACUUGCAUGAAGUCCAAAGGAAGCAUCCAUGCACACACAUGAAACCAAACAGGAAAGAAAACUUUAUUAUGACACCCAACUAUUUCAAUAAUCAACAAACAAUGCGUUAUCCAAGAAUGCACCAUUAUUGAUCUAUACCAUCUACUUCAACAGGCAAGAUUUUUCUACCACAGAUGAGCCGCACCGGGCUCACACCCAUCCACAGAGCCCGACAAAUGAGCCCCACCAACGAUUGAGCAUGCAGUGAUACAAAACAUGAGUUUUGUAGUCUCAAUUAGGAAGAUAAAUAAAAAUUGCAUCAAGUAGCAGGUAGGCUGUAUACUACAUACAUAAACUUGGCUCGGAUUUGAUGGCAUGUGAAAUUUGAAAAGUUUCAAUGUAAUUAGAUACAGAAGAUGUAGGAUUUGUACCUCUAGACAACCAUAUAUAAGCAAGACCUUUAGUUACAUAGAGAAGGAAAAUGUAUUGCCUAUAGAAACAACAAUCACAUCCAAAAAACAUAAGAAUCAAGACAGAACAGACUCCAGUGCCAUUUGUCCAUAUCUGAUGUUUUCCGGUUAAAAUAGAUAGCAGAGAGGGAACCAGGGGCUUACCAGCAGAGAUGCAGGAGUGAAAGAAGAAUUGAUGCCACUGGAGGGGCGGGGCGGGAGGCAUCAGAGUGGAAGAAGAAUCCCCUGUGCACACUCUAUCGCGCACCACCAAUGCACAUCAGGGAACCAAACCUAGCAACCACACAUGACGACUGAAAUGAGCCAUGUCAUAAUCACUUUGAUCAAUAUAAAGCAUGGAAUCCAACAAAAAUGUCUG
rnacentral:lncRNA from 1 species